UGGGCAGUAGCUCAGUGGUAGAGCUCCAGCUUCGUAUGCUGGAAAAUCUGGGUUCGAUUCCGUGCUGUUUAC
rnacentral:tRNA from 1 species